rnacentral:pre_miRNA from 13 species
CUCAUAGCUGCAUCAUUUGCAGGUGCUAAGUAGUGGUGCCGCAGGUAACCCGAGGGCGAUUACCUGCUGCCUGCUGCUUACCAUUUGUACGUGAAUUUGUAGUUC